GACGGAGGAUGCAAGCGUUAUCCGAAAUGAUUGGGCGUAAAGCGUCCGCAGGUGGCAGUUCAAGUCUGCUGUCAAAGACCGGGGCUUAACUUCGGAAAGGCAGUGGAAACUGAACAGCUAGAGUAUGGUAGGGGCAGAGGGAAUUCCUGGUGUAGCGGUGAAAUGCGUAGAGAUCAGGAAGAACAUCGGUGGCGAAGGCGCUCUGCUGGACCAUAACUGACACUCAGGGACGAAAGCUAGGGGAGCGAAUGGG
rnacentral:rRNA from 1 species